rnacentral:rRNA from 1 species
UACGUAGGGCGCAAGCGUUGUCCGGAAUCAUUGGGCGUAAAGAGCUCGUAGGCGGCCUGUUGCGUCCGCUGUGAAAUCCCGGGGCUUAACCCCGGGCGUGCAGUGGAUACGGGCUGGCUGGAGGCAGGCAGGGGAGAACGGAAUUCCCGGUGUAGCGGUGAAAUGCGCAGAUAUCGGGAGGAACACCGGUGGCGAAGGCGGGUCUCUGGGCAACAACUGACGCUGAGGAGCGAAAGCGUGGGGAGCGAACAGG